UACGGAGGGUGCGAGCGUUGUCCGGAAUCACUGGGCGUAAAGGGCGCGUAGGCGGCUGGUGAAGGCUUGUGUGAAAGUCCGGGGCUCAACCCUCGGAUGCCGGUGGAUACUGUCGGGCUUGAGUACGGAAGAGGCGAGUGGAAUUCCUGGUGUAGCGGUGAAAUGCGCAGAUAUCAGGAGGAACACCAAUUGCGAAGGCAGCUCGCUGGGACGUUACUGACGCUGAGACGCGAAAGCGUGGGUAGCAAACAGG
rnacentral:rRNA from 1 species